rnacentral:rRNA from 1 species
CAGUCGCCGCGGGAAUACGAAGGGGGCUAGCGUUGUUCGGAUUUACUGGGCGUAAAGCGCACGUAGGCGGACUUUUAAGUCAGGGGUGAAAUCCCGGGGCUCAACCCCGGAACUGCCUUUGAUACUGGAAGUCUUGAGUAUGGUAGAGGUGAGUGGAAUUCCGAGUGUAGAGGUGAAAUUCGUAGAUAUUCGGAGGAACACCAGUGGCGAAGGCGGCUCACUGGACCAUUACUGACGCUGAGGUGCGAAAGCGUGGGGAGCAAACAGGAUUAGAUACCCGGGUAGUCCCUGUCUCUUAUAC